rnacentral:rRNA from 1 species
GAGUUUGAUCGUGGCUCAGGACGAACGCUGGCGGCGCGCCUAACACAUGCAAGUCGAACGGAGUUGUGUUGAAAGCUUGCUGGAUAUACAACUUAGUGGCGGACGGGUGAGUAACACGUGAGUAACCUGCCUUUCAGAGUGGAAUAACGUUUGGAAACGAACGCUAAUACCGCAUAACAUAGUUUCCGGGCAUCCGGAGACUAUCAAAGAUUUUAUCGCUGAGAGAUGGGCUCGCGGCCGAUUAGGUAGUUGGUGAGAUAACAGCCCACCAAGCCGACGAUCGGUAGCCGGACUGAGAGGUUGAACGGCCACAUUGGGACUGAGACACGGCCCAGACUCCUACGGGAGGCAGCAGUGGGGGAUA